GACGAACGCUGGCGGCGUGCCUAAUACAUGCAAGUCGAGCGAAUCUGAGGGAGCUUGCUCCCGAAGAUUAGCGGCGGACGGGUGAGUAACACGUGGGCAACCUGCCUGUAAGACUGGGAUAACUUCGGGAAACCGGAGCUAAUACCGGAUAAUUCUUUUCUUCACAUGAAGGAAAGCUGAAAGACGGCGUAAGCUGUCACUUACAGAUGGGCCCGCGGCGCAUUAGCUAGUUGGUGAGGUAACGGCUCACCAAGGCGACGAUGCGUAGCCGACCUGAGAGGGUGAUCGGCCACAUUGGGACUGAGACACGGCCCAAACUCCUACGGGAGGCAGCAGUAGGGAAUCUUCCGCAAUGGACGAAAGUCUGACGGAGCAACGCCGCGUGAGUGAUGAAGGUUUUCGGAUCGUAAAACUCUGUUGUUAGGGAAGAACAAGUACCGGAGUAACUGCCGGUACCUUGACGGUACCUAACCAGAAAGCCACGGCUAACUACGUGCCAGCCGCCGCGGUAACAC
rnacentral:rRNA from 1 species